AUAGUAUACUUUAUAUAAAAGUUUUACUUUGCAAGUAAACAAAGGCUCGCCUGCUAUU
rnacentral:tRNA from 1 species